GUUAAGUGACGAUAGCCUAGGAGAUACACCUGUACCCAUGCCGAACACAGUAGUUAAGCCCUAGAACGCCUGAAGUAGUUGGGGGUUGCCCCCUGUUAGAUACGGUAGUCGCUUAGC
rnacentral:rRNA from 2 species